CUCCUCCGUCAAUUCUAUAUGCUCUGGUUACUCUGCCUUUCUUACUGCACUGUGCAUUGUUUGGAUAACUAGAAUAAUUCUUCUUGGUGUUGUAUUUGAGCCACAGAUUAUUCAAGGGGGGAGUCUCUGACAGAUGUGUGUUUAAUUGUAAACCUGAAGCCCUGUUCAGUAAACCAUUUGUGUGGUAACUACAGAUUUAUAAAUUAUUCCAGCAAAACUAUGUAAUGAUAAAUUUGAUAUCACUGAAGGCAUGAAUCUUAAUUGCAUAUCUUACAUUUUUAACUAUCUACUGAAUUGUGUAUCUUACAUUUCUAUCUAUCUAUCAUCCAAGGCAUAUGUUAGGGAAAUAUAGUCUUGAAAAUCCUUAGUCCCUAUUAUAUGUCAUUAAAUCAUUUUAAUACAA